rnacentral:lncRNA from 10 species
GAGGGACGCAAGAGCAUAAACUGAAAUCCCACAUCCCCGUGGAGGAACUUGGAGAUAAGAUGCAAAGCGCAGCAAAUAGGAGCCACUCUUUCAGAGAUGACAGACCACCUGGUUUCGAGGAGCAGCAGACAGCGUGAAUGAAUGAAGUUGGCCAGUUCUGUGUGUUGACUGGAAUCACCUGGGAAGUUUUAGUCCUGUGAUACCACCUGGAACCACAGACAGAGUGAGGACACAGCAAGAAGAUGAUCAUCUGCAAGCCAAGAAGAGGGGUCUCACCAGAAUCCUAUAAUGCUGGCACCCUGAUAUUUUACUUUCCACCUUCCAUAAAUGUGAG